GGAAAACUGGACUCAGCAUUUUCUCUACCAAUUUCCUUUGCUUUCUUCCUCAAUUCCUGUCUGUGUAGCACAGUUUUACUCCUUCCAGCAUUAAAUGUUCUGGCAGUUCCGUUCUUCAAAACUGCCACUUUCUUUUCACCUUUGUUAAACCCCGAUCUCAUCUCAAAGAACUGCUCAACUGAUUUCAAUUCCCCCUCGGUGCAUCCUUUUAGUUUACACAUGUUGGAGACAAGCUACAAGAAUGAUCUUCGAGACAAAUCAUCUUUGGGGAAGAGAAAGCUAUGAGCUGAUCUGUUCCUUCGAAUGGAGGUCUCUAAAGAGGGCAAGAGGGAAAACUCAAGCUGUGAAAAAUGACAUGUAUAGGGUGAAAGACACCAUCCCGUCAUGGCUCACCCCAUCACAGAUGUAUGUUGAGCCCCUCAAGCCUUCUGGGUAAAUGAGAACAAGCUCUUUGCUGAUUGGAUUAAAGCCUACGGUUUGGCAAUUUGAGAUUAAGGGAACAUUAAGGAGAGGGAGUGCCUGGGAUCCAUUUAAGAGUCUCUGUGUUCAAAUCUAUACGCAUAUACUUCCAUCUCCAAUAACUCGUAUAUCCAACCCAACUGAUAAUUGACCUGUAUCAUCUUUUGCUAUAAUUCACUUCUGGGAUAUUGUAAGUGUGAGUUUGGCUAGGCUUGCAUAAGUAUUAGUGCUCUAUUAUGAACGUUUCACAUGGGUUGAUUGGGAUUGAUCAGUGGUCCAUACCGCUGCACAAGCCAAUUAAUGGCUGUCUCCUAGGGAGAGUCUGGUUGGCCGAGUCGCAAUAGAUGUAAAUGCAAUUGAUUGACUGUAAGAGUUAGUCUAAGUGAUUUGGCCCUGUAAAUCGGGCAAGCCGAGUGUCGGCUACAUUUGAGAGGAGUCUUUCCCAUCCGUCACAAGAAAUGUUUUUUCAUCUUCUAGGGUGUUUGUGUGCAAAUUGAGGAAAGAACCAGAGUAGGAAGGGCUUGAGGAAAGUGUAAGUGCGGUAAAAUCAGCCAGGGAAAAGUACUUCUUUAACAAGCAAAUCUAUUUACGACCCCUCUGAGACCUGAAUGGCCCGAGUUGCAAUCUCAUUCUGCUCUCUCUCAUCACUUAGAGAGGUCAUUGACUUCCCCAACAGCGUCCCUGUCCCAAAAGGUAUUGGCUCUGUGGGCUGACAUCAGCUGGUGACUGGAUGCUCGUACCAGAAUUAAUGUAAUUAGUAAUUACUGGAUGAGCCGGAAGGGCAGCGUGUCUGUAGGCUACCACAUGAAAACAUGCAAAUAAAAAAUAGCAGUACAAUAGCAGUUAAAAUGUUCAUACACUACUGUUUUUCUUCAUUUUUGUCCUAUUGUUUAGUGUUUUUGAAAUAUUUUUUUAUGCUAACCAAGACUGCAUUUUGUGCAUAUUUGCUGCAUAUUGUGAAAUAUUAUUAGCAUUUGAUAUAACUGUGUUCUAUUAUAUUUUAAAAUGUAAUUUAUUUCUGUGAUGGCAAAGCUACAUUUUCAACAGCCGUUACUCCAGUCUCAGUGUCACAUGAUCCUUCAGAAAUUAUUCUAAUAUGCCGAUUUGGUGCUCAAGAAACAGCUGUGCUUAAUAUUUUUUUG